rnacentral:lncRNA from 1 species
UUUAAUAUUUUCUUAUCAAGUGUUAGUUGACACAUCCCGACCCGGAUUGUUCACUAGGACUCCGAAUCGAGUUGUGUUGGCCGACACCUGGAAGGUAACGAAGCCAUAAGGUGUAAUGAUGUGGAAUAUGUGAAUAAAUUUAAACCUAGAAGUGCCUAAAUACGAGAGUGCGCUGUGAGCGAGAAUGAACCCAUUUCACACGUGACGUCAAAGCAUAAGUAAAGUAUAGUAGAGUGGAUUGAAAAUCAUACCAUCGAAGGUAAUCUCUAAUACCAAGAUUUGCCACGAAUCCUCGUCGAUACUAAAACUAUGCUACUAGAACCUGGAAGGAAAAAGAAACAAGAGUGAGUGGGCCUGAAAAUAACGCUUUAAUAAAGACCUUCUAAACGUUAUAAUCCCUCGCUAUAAUACCUGUAUAGUUUCCAAGAAAUCAUACUAUGUAUAAGUAUGAAAUCAAAUGUAAAUCAAUAGUAAAUCCAGGAAUAUUCCAAAUCACUACAUGGCAACAGCAUAAAAAUCAAGUGCUCAUCAACCUAUGAUAACACAUUAGUUGGAGUUGUCUAAUGCAACAUGUACCACUCAUAAAUCAAUCUAUGAUAACACAUGAGUCGGAGUUGUCUAAUGCAACAUGUACGACUCAUAGGCAACAUGUAUGACAAUGUUGGAGUUGCUUAUUAUUGCAACCUGUAUGACAAUGUCGGAGUUGCCUAAAACACAAAUAUAGUCAUGCCAUAACUUAUUCAUUCCAGAUAACACCAUAAAUUCACCUGAACUUACCUCAUGACCCGCGUUCACCUUAGCACUUCAAAGCAUUCACAACAAUUAUAUAUAGGUAAUAUGCAUAUGGAUAUGCCAUGACUCAAUAUAAAACUCAACCACAUCAUAGUAUUUUAGAAAAUAUAAAGGAAAUUGUUAUUGGCAUAAAAUGCAUAAUUCAAUUUAAAAGCAUUUGUGGAACUAUCAGUUAUAUAUAUAUAUAUAUAUAUAUAUAUAUAUAUAUAUAUAUAUAUAUAUAUAUAUAUAUAUAUAUAUAUAUAUAUAUAUAUACGAUAAAAAAAGAUAAGACUCACUCACCUGAGGUCCACACUACGACUCCUCAGCAUGAAUAUUGAGACGUCACGAAUGACCAUCACUUAGAAUAAAUAUUCAAUCAUGUCUCAGAACUCUUAUCAAUAAAACAUGUAACUUACAUAAAACACAUCCCAAGGACAUUCUAGAAUGAUUUGAGACCCCUUUGACCAAAAGUCAACCGUUGGUCAAAGAUCAAUGGUAGGGUCCACAACCCUACAUAACUAAAUCCGGAAGAUAUGCAUCUUGGAUUUUCGAUUCGUAACUUCUAAAAAUCCACAUUAUACUUCUAGGACAUCAUACUAAAGUUUCAUUACUAUCCAACGAUUGGAUCUCUGCUAAUUGCCAAUUCAAGGGGAGGUCAACGUUAUAUUUUACAAACUUACAAAUCUAAUUUGGGAAGAUCUGUACGUCAGAAUCUUAAUCUGUAAGUUUCUAAUAUCCUCAAAUAUUAUGUACUAUAGCGUAUUAAAGUUUGGUGACGAUCCCAAGGUUGGAUCGUCAAUUCACAUAAUGUUCAAGUAGCGGUCUUUAACCAAACUAUAUUCAAACGAUGAGAUUUCAACAAUCAGACACCUUAGCUUAGGAAGGUCAGGGGGUGACCUGGCUCACGCGUUGCCGCACACGGCGGUCGGCUGCCCCGAUUCGCAGGAAAAUUCAACUAUCCCCAAAAAUUCUCAAAUUCUAUAGAAAUGAAGAUCUCCAAGAGUAUAGCAAGUUUUAUACAUGUGGUCAAGUCCAAUUUGGCUGGGAAAGGCUCCAAUUUCACUCAAACCCGUCGGAACCCUAAAAUUGGUGAAUUUCGAUUCUCCUUCCUCGGUGCUCCAACAUCUCUACCACUGGUUGGGUCUUGUUCAUGGGUCCAAGGGAAGUUGAUUAAGGGUGGUGAUGGGUGGUGAGACUCACCGGAACAGCGAAUCGCCGUUGAGAACCUCCGUGUUCUCUGGUAUGGUUUUACUCGAAAUUGGCCUUAAAAACCCUGAAAUUUGAGCAAAUAUGGUAGAUGAGAGGUUGUGGAAUAAGUUGUAGGUGGUGGAGGGGUGAGAAUGGCCUGAAAAAUGGUGGCAAUUGGCUGGAAUUCAUCCGGGUUGAAGUCGGGUUUGUGGGUGCACGGGUUAACGGGAAAGGGUGGUUCUUUCUCACCCUUCCUGAUUGGUCCCUCAUUUUCUCCUCCUUUCUAAUCGGUCCUUAGUUCCAUUUAAAUUGAUUGGUCCUAUAUUCCCUUGUUGAAAGCUCAUUGGCUUCCUUCCCACAAGAUGGGAGCUCAAAUUAUUUAACUAACUUUAAAUAAUCAAUUUCAAACAUUUGUAACUAUACCGUUAUAAUUCAAACUCAAACGGUUUUCGCCUAUGCGUUCGUAGUUUCAAAAUCUAUUCGAAAACAUUAAUUGUGACUUCGAACGGUCAACGAAAGUCAAACAUCCUUGCCUCUAAGGGCAUUUUCGAAAAAUCACUACUUUAAAAUUUAUAAAACUUAAAAUUUGGGAUGUGAUGUCACAUUAGUGGUGUGUAAAAAAUAUUAAAAAUUAAAAAGGUGUGAGAGAAGUAAUUUGGGGAGUGUGAAUAUAAUCUCUCUAAAUAAAAAUGUUGAUUGAUUGCAAACAACACAUAAUAAUAUAUAACAAAAUGUGUCUAAUGUAUACAUGCAAAAUAAUUUACCUACAAUGAUUGUCAAACAAAUAUAUGAAAUGGAACAGAUGAUGAUAAGACAAGUAUAAAGUAGAUACUUUUGUAAUUUACCUAUAGAAUAAAUGAAUGUUGAUUGAUUGCAAACAACAUAAUAAUAACAAAUGUGCCUAAUAUAUGUAAUAAUACAUGCAAAAUUAUUCACCUACAAAAUAAAAAUAUGUUUUCAGCCAAUUGAUUCAAAGUUAAUUAAUUACCUAUAUUCUACUUAAAAAUAUAAGUAAUUUAUUUCACACAGAUAUAAUAAUAACAAAAUGUGCCUAAUGUAUACAUGCAAAAUAAUUUACCUACAAUGAUUGUCAAACAAAUAUAAGAAAUGGAACAGAUGAUGGUAAGACAAGUAUAAAAUAUAUACUUUUGUAAUAAUAAAGCUCUUAUUUGCCAUAAUUAUGGUGGAUAAUUAAAUUCAUAAACAUAAUUAGGGUGAUGUGGCACAAUUGUAAAUAUUUUGAAAAUAAUAAGUAUUUAUUUGUUUUCAUGGCAGUUUAUUUCAAAUUUAGGUUUUAUUUGGAUGUUUAAAACGAGAUGGGUUUUUGUCAAGAAAAUAAGUGUUGCAUGGGCUUAUAUCUAAAGUGUGACAACCCGUCCCUAAUUUUACGUUUUUAUAAAUUUUAAAAGCGUGAAUUGACGAAAAUGCCCUAGAGGCAAGGACUUUGACUUCCGUUGACCCUCGUUUAGAGAAACGUUUAACUUAUUCUUUUAGCGUAUUUAAGUAAUACUCGUCACUACGCAUAGGCGAAAGCCAUUUAUGAGUCUAGAUUAUAACAAUAUAGUUAUGGACGUUUAAAGUUGGUUAUUUAAAGGUAGUUAAAUUAUUUGAAGUCCCACCUUGUAUGAUUGAGAACCAAUCAACAUAUGGGUUAAGGGGACCAACCUGAUUUGGAGGGAGAGAAAGUGAGAGCCAAUGAGGAAAAAGAAAGGAAAAA